CAGAGCUCCAGAGCCUACAAAACAAUAAGUGCCUCCUCCAGCAUUUGCAGCAGCAUGAUCUACUGUUGAACUGUUACAGACUGGACUCUGCCAUCUGGAGAACUUGCGGACUUUCCAUCUUGGUAGAUCUCCUUCAAGGUACUCCAGAUUUAGCUCUUUGUCACAUCUACAGUAGACGUAAAGACAUCCAUUCUCAGGAAGAAGUGCAGGGCUAAGGAAUUUUGAACACUUGGACUGCAAACAUAAAAUUGUGGUGUUUUCUUCCUUGUGGGUGUCAUUGUCUGCGGCUCCACCCAUCAUCUCAGAAGUAUCUUUUCCUUGGUGCUGGUGCAUACUAUGAUUCCUUCAUCAUCAUACUGUUAGCUGGGGACCGCACAAAGUUUUUUGUGGAAGCUUCUGGGAGGAGCACACAGACAGACAGACAGACAGAAGGAACUGUUUAAGCAGCAAUAGAUGUUGUCAUACUGCCCCUGACUCUUAUAUCUUGACAGUAAUCCUCAUUUGAAAUUUUGUGAAUCCAGAACCAUAGCUUGGAACGUGUAAUUGUCAGCGGUUGUAUCUACAGCAAGUUACUGAGCACCUUAAAUG